CCUCUGUAUUGCAAGUUUUGCUCUGGCGGCUAACGCCACUGCAGGCCGACGAGCCGCACGUCCGGAAUCGAGCCUGCUGGCCGCCGCCGCAACUGACUGAGCACACCGACCACUGAGACCAAGACACGAAUACCUGUGCACAGAUGUGUGUUGCAGUCUCUCUGCUGUUCACCAAUUCCCAGACAACCUCUUCCCCCGCCCUGAGGAGAUGGAUUAUCACAUUGGCGUCUCCUGAAGUGAACUCCUCCUCCGCAGGAAAUUGAGCACGAAGACCAAGCUCCCCACUGGCCCCAGCCGCCGUCGACGUAGCAGCCGGGGAGUGAGUGACAGUGAAAAACACCAGCUUGGCAGGAACUGAGGAGAGAAUAAACUGAACCUGAAUCAAUUAUUUGGCCAAAUCGCUUUUGGAAAAUUGUUGUAAACAAACAUGUUUAUGUUGAGAAGCAGGAGACGUGCGGGGGACAAAAUGGGUGGACAUGAAAACUUUACAGACAUGCUCACCACGAAACGAGAAAAACAUCAAUUCAUGUAAAAUGCUUCAAACCAAUUUUUGCAGUCAGUGAUGAUUUCUUCUCCGUGACUUGCAAACUGCCACUCAGUCUCACCAGGUCUGGAAUCUAAUCAGUGGAGAAAAAAACAAGAACUUGCAGAACAUUUCAAACGUGUUUUGGGAAUUUAAAAAAAAAAAAGGAUCUUUAGCCAACCUGCAGCGGAGCUGUUUUCGUAUUUGCAGCGACAUUCCUCCCUGGUUACACACACGCCAUCCUGCAGGACCAUGUCGCCAGGGCAACCGCAAGACUUGCUGCAUCCUGGUGAGUCCAGGCACUCCGUGUCACCAUGGAGAUCAGAACAGGAGCGAGGACAGGGCUUGCCACAAGGCCAUUCCUCUUGGCCGCCACCACAUUCUGAAAAGGAAGUACGGAAUGUUCCUAAAAGUCAGCCAAUUUCGAUCAUCGCUAAUAAAUGCCCCUAGUCAAUGUCAAAUUAAAAUGAAAUGAGAUGUAGUUCCUACACGAUUCAAUAGUGCGCAUGAAAGCAUUUGCAAAAUUGACCUGAGCACACGGUCGUGUUGUCAUGGCAACCACGGCUCUGCGUCGCUUCUCCGAGGCAGGGCAGACCACCGAAUCUUGAAGGGGGGUUGUUACACUCUCUGGUGCGAUUGGAUGACCCUGCACACCCGUCGCAGUCUGACCAAGCCGACCAGGAACUCCAAGAACCAUGCACUACAUCGUGAUGAAUUGAAAAUGAAAAAUUAAAUUUACUUAGCAGACAUGAUGUUAUGCCCUAACAAAAUAAAAAUCGAUCCUGCCUGGACAGAAGGUGAUAACAGGACAGGGCUGUCUCUGGAUUUGAGCUCCAACGCCAUUAUGUAUUUCCUGUUCUCCAGAACAGGGUUGCCCGCUAGCUUUGGGUUCGGGACAGCUGCAGCUUCUGUAACGGGAUACCGACUCUGCCCCACAGGUCCUGGAGCAUGGAGUCCACGUGGACCACUCACACCAGCCACCUGAUACUGGAAACACAGAGAAGAGGGGUCGGACUGUCACAAUCUCUCCUUCGGCUCUGAACACCCCCGCCACAUGACUUGGUACAUUGUGUCCAAUUACUCCAAGGACCCCAACCACCGUCACCUUGGAGGAAUCAACGAUGACAUUUUUUGAAAGUUGAUUCUUAAACAUGUAAACUGUAUUUUCACUUAAGAGGGAAUUAUUACUAACUCACGGUCACAUGGGGUGGUGACACAGACUUUGUCCUCUCGGUUAGGCCCCGGACACGACGGACCAUCGGCGGAGCGCUGAGGGCUGGAACAGAACCGAUAUCGGGACUGCAGACCUGCUCCACAUGACACUGAACAGUGACCCCAAGGAGUCCACGGUGACCACUGGCCAUCAGCUACAGAGUGUAAAUGCAAAAAAUAAAAAUAGAUUAAAUAAGGAUGAAUGUGCCACGAAUAAAAAAAAAAAUUUUUUACCUGUGCACCUGGCUUGAGAACAGUUUACAAGUCUCCCUGCUUGACAUGUACUGAAAUACGGGGAUACACAUUGAAGUUAGAAACACAUGCAGAUAAGAUGGAAAUAAAUUAGAACACAUUGCAUCUACUUA